UACAGAGGUCCCGAGCGUUGUUCGGAUUCAUUGGGCGUAAAGGGUGCGUAGGCGGUUUGCUAAGUUUGAUGUGAAAUCCCGGGGACUUAACCCUGGAAUUGCAUUGAAGUACUGGCGGACGUAGAGUCCUGGAGAGGAAACUGGAAUUUACGGGUGUAGCAGGUGAAAUGCGUAGAGAAUCGUAAGGAAGACCAGUGGCGGAA
rnacentral:rRNA from 1 species